CCUACGGGUGGCAGCAGUGAGGAAUAUUGGUCAAUGGGCGCGAGCCUGAACCAGCCACGUAGCGUGAAGGAUGACUGCCCUACGGGUUGUAAACUUCUUUUAUAAAGGAAUAAAGUGAGGCACGUGUGCCUUUUUGUCUGUACUUUAUGAAUAAGGAUCGGCUAACUCCGUGCCAGCAGCCGCGGUAAGACGGAGGAUCCGAGCGUUAUCCGGAUUUAUUGGGUGUAAAGGGAGCGUAGAUGGGUUGUUAAGUCAGUUGUGAAAGUUUGCGGCUCAACCGUAAAAUUGCAAUUGAUACUGGUAGUCUUGAGUACAGUUGAGGUAGGCGGAAUUCGUGGUGUAGCGGUGAAAUGCUUAGAUAUCACGAAGAACACCGAUGGCGAAGGCAGCUUACUAAACUGCCACUGACACUGAUGCUCGAAAGUGUGGGUAGCAAACAGGAUUAGAUACCCGGGUAGUC
rnacentral:rRNA from 1 species